rnacentral:rRNA from 1 species
GUGGGCCCUCGAAAUCCUGUGGCGGGUGGAUUCAGUCAGGAAAGACGGAGGUGUGGUGCGGUCUAUUACAACGGACCCUACCCUGGGCCGGGCCGUCCACACGGUCUCCGUUUUGCCUGACGCAUUUCCUCCCGCACUGAGGACGCCGCAGCCGGUUGGGUAGCUGCGUGAGUCGGCCAUGAGGACUGGCGCCGGCAGGUGGCCGGUGGCGUUGCUUCGGCUUCGUCGCCGGUUGUUAGCCAGCUGGUCCGUGGCGCGACACCCGACCGAGGUUGAACGGUUCCCUUAUGGGAACUCGCCGUCCCCUUCUCGUUCGCGGGAAGCGGGCGCUUUGGCAGGCUAAUCGCGGUGCUACCACGUCACUCCUCGUAGUGGCCGGUGUUCCGAGGUUGCUGUUGGCUAAAAGUGUCCCGCGGGGGUGCAUGCGGCUAGCGGCGAGUAGGUCGGUCACCCACCCGACCCGUCUUGAAACACGGACCAAGGAGUCUAACAUGUGCGCGAGUCACGGGGUCUUGUUUAGGCCCAGAGGCGCAAUGAAAGUGAAGGUCGACCUCGAUGUCGGCUGUGUUGGGAUUUCUCGUCCCUCGGGGCGGGGAAGCACCAACGACCCGUCCUAUCCGAUUUAUCGGUUGGGCGGAGUCUGAGCGUACACGUUGGGACCCGAAAGAUGGUGAACUAUGCCUGGGCAGGACGAAGCCAGAGGAAACUCUGGUGGAGGUCCGUAGCGGUUCUGACGUGCAAAUCGAUCGUCAGACCCGGGUAUAGG